GCGGAAGUGGUGAAAUUGGCAGACACGCAGGAUUUAGGUUCCUGUGCCUUCGGGUGUGUGGGUUCAAGUCCCACCUUCCGCAC
rnacentral:tRNA from 1 species